rnacentral:rRNA from 1 species
UACGAAGGGUGGCAAGCGUUACUCGGAAUUACUGGGCGUAAGCGUGCGUAGGUGGUUGUUAAGUCUGUUGUGAAAGCCCCGGCUCAACCUGGGAAUGGCAAUGGAUACUGGCAGGCUAGAGUGCGGUAGAGGGUAGUGGAAUUCCGGUGUAGCGGUGAAAUGCGUAGAGAUCGGGAGGAACACCAGUGGCGAAGGCGGCUACCUGGACCAGCACUGACACUGAGGCACGAAAGCGUGGGGAGCAAACAGG